UUUUUUUGUGUCAAUUUUUGUUUUUAUUGAGGAAAUAGGAAGGUACAUAGCAAUUCAAUAGGAGGUAUACCAGACAUACACACAAGUAGAAAAGGUCAGCAUGAGGAUGAAUACAUAAUUAUCACAAUUCACACAUGAAUAUACUCCUUGCGAGUUCAGCCUCAUGAUAUAGGUUUUGAUAUAUUAAUACGUUGAAAAAAAGUCA